rnacentral:rRNA from 1 species
AUGAUGUCCUUUAUUCUUCCUAUAUUGCAUCGAAUGAGUAAUAGAGGACCAAUCGAGAGAAAUCAGCGACAUAGCUCCAUCCUAUAUGGCAAGAAGCGUGUUGACGAUAUCCUUACAGGGCAUGUUAAGAAUUGUCUCGUAGCUUAUAGGAUGGAGCCACAUAUCUUCCGGGCUUUGGCAUCUUAUCUUAGAAGAGAAAAUCUGAUAUCGGAUACAAGAAUUAAGGUGGAGGACAAGUUAGCCUUUUUCCUGUACAUGGUGUCUCACAACGCGUCUUAUGAAGAUCUGCAGCUAGAAUUUCAACAUAGUGGACAAACAUUUCAUGAGUAA